AGUGAACGCUGGCGGUAGGCCUAACACAUGCAAGUCGAACGGCAGCACAGUAAGAGCUUGCUCUUACGGGUGGCGAGUGGCGGACGGGUGAGGAAUACAUCGGAAUCUACUUUUUCGUGGGGGAUAACGUAGGGAAACUUACGCUAAUACCGCAUACGACCUACGGGUGAAAGCAGGGGAUCUUCGGACCUUGCGCGAUUGAAUGAGCCGAUGUCGGAUUAGCUAGUUGGCGUGGUAAAGGCCCACCAAGGCGACGAUCCGUAGCUGGUCUGAGAGGAUGAUCAGCCACACUGGAACGGAGACACGGUCCAGACUCCUACGGGAGGCAGCAGUGGGGAAUAUUGGACAAUGGGCGCAAGCCUGGUCCAGCCAUACCGCGUGGGUGAAGAAGGCCUUCGGGUUGUAAAGCCCUUUUGUUGGGAAAGAAAAGCAGCAGGUUAAUACCCCGCUGUUCUGACGGUACCCAAAGAAUAAGCACCGGCUAACUUCGUG
rnacentral:rRNA from 1 species